UACGUAGGGUGCGAGCGUUGUCCGGAAUUACUGGGCGUAAAGGGCGCGUAGGCGGCCAGCACAAGUCAGUUGUGAAAUCUCCGGGCUUAACUCGGAAAGGUCAACCGAUACUGCGGGGCUAGAGUGCAGAAGGGGCAACUGGAAUUCUCGGUGUAGCGGUGAAAUGCGUAGAUAUCGAGAGGAACACCUGCGGCGAAGGCGGGUUGCUGGGCUGACACUGACGCUGAUGCGCGAAAGCCAGGGGAGCGAACGGG
rnacentral:rRNA from 1 species